rnacentral:rRNA from 1 species
AGAGUUUGAUCAUGGCUCAGGAUGAACGCUGGCGGCGUGCCUAAUACAUGCAAGUCGAACGAAACUUCUUUAUCACCGAGUGCUUGCACUCACCGAUAAAGAGUUGAGUGGCGAACGGGUGAGUAACACGUGGGCAACCUGCCCAAAAGAGGGGGAUAACACUUGGAAACAGGUGCUAAUACCGCAUAACCAUAGUUACCGCAUGGUAACUAUGUAAAAGGUGGCUAUGCUACCGCUUUUGGAUGGGCCCGCGGCGCAUUAGCUAGUUGGUGGGGUAAAGGCUUACCAAGGCAAUGAUGCGUAGCCGAACUGAGAGGUUGAUCGGCCACAUUGGGACUGAGACACGGCCCAAACUCCUACGGGAGGCAGCAGUAGGGAAUCUUCCACAAUGGGCGAAAGCCUGAUGGAGCAACGCCGCGUGGGUGAAGAAGGUCUUCGGAUCGUAAAACCCUGUUGUUAGAGAAGAAAGUGCGUGAGAGUAACUGUUCACGUUUCGACGGUAUCUAACCAGAAAGCCACGGCUAACUACGUGCCAGCAGCCGCGGUAAUACGUAGGUGGCAAGCGUUAUCCGGAUUUAUUGGGCGUAAAGGGAACGCAGGCGGUCUUUUAAGUCUGAUGUG